UACGUAGGGGGCAAGCGUUGUCCGGAAUCAUUGGGCGUAAAGAGCGUGUAGGCGGCCCGGUAAGUCCGCUGUGAAAGUCCAGGGCUCAACCCUGGGAUGCCGGUGGAUACUGUCGGGCUCGAGUCCGGAAGAGGAGUGUGGAAUUCCUGGUGUAGCGGUGAAAUGCGUAGAUAUCAAGAGGAACACCUGAGGUGAAGACGAGUUGCUGGGCUGACACUGACGCUGAGGCGCGAAAGCUAGGGUAGCAAACGGG
rnacentral:rRNA from 1 species